rnacentral:rRNA from 1 species
UACGUAGGCAGCAAGCGUUGUUCGGAAUUACUGGGCGUAAAGAGUGUGUAGGCGGUGUUCUAAGUCUGUUGUGAAAUCUCCCGGCUUAACUGGGAGGGUGCGGCGGAAACUGGAAUGCUAGAGGAUGGGAGAGGUAAGCGGAAUUCCUGGUGUAGCGGUGAAAUGCGUAGAUAUCUGGAGGAAUACCGGUGGCGAAGGCGGCAUCCUGGACCGACAUUGACGCUGAUGAGCGAAAGCUAGGGGAGCAAACGGG